rnacentral:rRNA from 1 species
GUGGGGAAUCUUGCGCAAUGCGCGAAAGCGUGACGCAGCAACGCCGCGUGGGGGAAGACGGCCUUCGGGUUGUAAACCCCUUUCAGGAGGGACGAAGGUUCACCGGUGAAUAGCCGUGUGGAUUGACGGUACCUCCAGAAGAAGCUCCGGCUAACUACGUGCCAGCAGCCGCGGUAAUACGUAGGGAGCAAGCGUUGUCCGGAAUCAUUGGGCGUAAAGCGCGCGUAGGCGGCCCUGUAAGUCCGUUGUGAAAGUCAAAGGCUCAACCUUUGAAAGCCGAUGGAUACUGCAGGGCUAGAGUACGGAAGAGGCGAGUGGAAUUCCUGGUGUAGCGGUGGAAUGCGCAGAUAUCAGGAGGAACACCAAUAGCGAAGGCAGCUCGCUGGGACGUUACUGACGCUAAGGCGCGAAAGCGUGGGGAGCGAACAGGAUUAGAAACCCUAGUAGUCC